AAUAACUGACAAUGCUAA
rnacentral:snRNA from 1 species